AUGUUCCAACUGAGUGUAAAUGACGAGCUGACAAAAGCAGAAGACACAACAACAGAGACACAACAACAGAGACACAACAGCAGAGACACAACAGCAGAGUCACAACAGCAGAGACACAACAGCAGAGAGACAACAGAGACACAACAGCAGAGACACAACAGCAGAGAGACAACAGCAGAGAGACAACAGAGACACAACAGCAGAGACACAACAGCAGAGACACAACAGCAGAGACACACACAUAGAGACAACAGCAGAGAGACAACAGAGACACAAACAACAGAGACACAACAACAGAGACACAACAGCAGAGACACAACAGCAGAGUCACAACAGCAGAGACACAACAGCAGAGAGACAACAGAGACACAACAGCAGAGACACAACAGCAGAGAGACAACAGCAGAGAGACAACAGAGACACAACAGCAGAGACACAACAGCAGAGACACAACAGCAGAGAGACAACAGAGACACAACAGCAGAGGACACAACAGCAGAGACACAACAGCAGAGACACAACAGCAGAGACACAACAGCAGAGAGACAACAGAGACACAACAGCAGAGAGACAACAGAGACACAACAGCAGAGACACAACAGCAGAGACACAACAGCAGAGACACAACAGCAGAGACACAACAGCAGAGACACAACAGCAGAGAGACAACAGAGACACAACAGCAGAGACACAACAGCAGAGACACAACAGCAGAGACACAACAGCAGAGACACAACAGCAGAGAGACAACAGCAGAGACACAACAGAGACACAACAGAGACACAACAACAUAGACACAACAGCAGAGACACAACAGCAGAGAGACAACAGAGACACAACAGCAGAGACACAACAGCAGAGACACAACAGCAGAGACACAACAGCAGAGACACAACAGAGACACAACAGCAGAGACACAACAACAGAGACACAACAGCAGAGACACAACAGCAGAGACACAACAACAUAGACACAACAGCAGAGACACAACAACAGAGACACAACAGCAGAGAGACAACAGCAGAGAGACAACAGCAGAGACACAACAACAGAGACACAACAACAUAG
rnacentral:lncRNA from 1 species